CGCCCUUGAAAUACCACCCUUUAAUGGCUGGUGUUCUAACGUGGGCCCGUAAUCCGGGUUGCGGACAGUGUCUGGUGGGUAGUUUGACUGGGGCGGUCUCCUCCUAAAGAGUAACGGAGGAGCACGAAGGUCAGCUAAUCCUGGUCGGACAUCAGGAGGUUAGUGCAAUGGCAUAAGCUGGCUUGACUGCGAGCGUGACGGCGCGAGCAGGUGCGAAAGCAGGUCAUAGUGAUCCGGUGGUUCUGAAUGGAAGGGCCAUCGCUCAACGGAUAAAAGGUACUCCGGGGAUAACAGGCUGAUACCGCCCAAGAGUUCAUAUCGACGGCGGUGUUUGGCACCUCGAUGUCGGCUCAUCACAUCCUGGGGCUGAAGUAGGUCCCAAGGGUAUGGCUGUUCGCCAUUUAAAGUGGUACGCGAGCUGGGUUUAGAACGUCGUGAGACAGUUCGGUCCCUAUCUGCCGUGGGCGCUGGAGAACUGAGGGGGGCUGCUCCUAGUACGAGAGGACCGGAGUGGACGCAUCACUGGUGUUCGGGUUGUCAUGCCAAUGGCACUGCCCGGUAGCUAAAUGCGGAAGAGAUAAGUGCUGAAAGCAUCUAAGCACGAAACUUGCC
rnacentral:rRNA from 1 species